UACGGAGGUGGCAAGCGUUGUUCGGAAUUACUGGGCGUAAAGGGCUCGUAGGCGGCCAACUAAGUCAGACGUGAAAUCCCUAGGCUCAACCUAGGAACUGCGUCUGAUACUGGAUGGCUUGAAUCCGGGAGAGGGAUGCAGAAUUCCAGGUGUAGCGGUGAAAUGCGUAGAUAUCUGGAGGAAUACCGGUGGCGAAGGCGGCAUCCUGGACCGGCAUUGACGCUGAGGAGCGAAAGCCAGGGGAGCAAACGGG
rnacentral:rRNA from 1 species